GAUGAGCGCUGGCGGCGUGCCUAAUACAUGCAAGUCGAGCGAACGGACGAGAAGCUUGCUUCUCUGAUGUUAGCGGCGGACGGGUGAGUAACACGUGGAUAACCUACCUAUAAGACUGGGAUAACUUCGGGAAACCGCAGAUAAUAAUGGAUCAUAUUUUGAACCGCAUGGUUCAAAAGUGCAAGAGGGUCUUGCUGUCACUUAUAGAUGGAUCCGCGCUGCAUUAGCUAGUUGGUAAGGUAACGGCUUACCAAGGCAACGAUGCAUAGCCGACCUGAGAGGGUGAUCGGCCACACUGGAACUGAGACACGGUCCAGACUCCUACGGGAGGCAGCAGUAGGGAAUCUUCCGCAAUGGGCGAAAGCCUGACGGAGCAACGCCGCGUGAGUGAUGAAGGUCUUCGGAUCGUAAAACUCUGUUAUUAGGGAAGAACAUAUGUGUAAGUAACUGUGCACAUCUUGACGGUACCUAAUCAGAAAGCCACGGCUAACUACGUG
rnacentral:rRNA from 1 species